UGCAACCUGUAUGUCAGUAUUAUUUAAAGACUGGGACCUGUAAAUUUGGUGCGUCCUGCAAGUUCCACCAUCCAAAACAUGGAGCUGGAUCCUUAAACCGAGCUCCCCUAAAUAUUUAUGGAUACCCAUUACGACCGGGCGAGAAUGAAUGCUCCUACUAUUUGAAAACGGGGCAAUGCAAAUUUGGCAUAACCUGUAAAUUCCAUCAUCCACAGCCUGCUGGAACAACAAUACCGGCUUCUGCACCCCAAUUUUAUCCGUCGGUGCAGUCUCCUGU